rnacentral:rRNA from 1 species
UACGGAGGAUGCGAGCGUUAUCCGGAUUUAUUGGGUUUAAAGGGUGCGUAGGCGGGUUAUCAAGUCAGCGGUAAAAUCGUGGAGCUCAACUCCAUCCAGCCGUUGAAACUGAUGAUCUUGAGUGGGCGAGAAGUAUGCGGAAUGCGUGGUGUCGCGGUGAAAUGCAUAGAUAUCACGCAGAACUCCGAUUGCGAAGGCAGCAUACCGGCGCCCUACUGACGCUGAGGCACGAAAGCGUGGGGAUCGAACAGG